GAGUCCAUAUAGACUUUUCCUUCUUUUUUAGGAAAAACUUAUUACAAGUAUCAUUCCCUUGGUGCUAUUAGAUUUUUAUCCUUUGGAUCUACUCUUUAAUUGAUUACUAAUAGCCCUUGGAUCAAACACUAUUCCACCUCCCACCACCUACCACCAUCAUCUCAAACUCAAAAGCACCACUUUUAUGGUACUUUUGAAAGUAUUCUAGCUCUACUCAUAUAUAUAUAUAUAUAUAUAUAUAUAUAUAUAUAUAUAUAUAUAUAUAUAUAUNAUAUAUAAAAGUUAGGAGUUUAAUUUUAGAGAUAAUUGUCUAUACCACUCAAAAUUUUGAAAAUAUCUUAUUCAUCUCUAUUUUUUUUUUUCUAAUAUUCCCCUCAUAUAUUUCUCUGUUAUUUCAAUAUAUUCCUGCAGUUAUCACCUGUUAAGUUAACUUAAAUUAAAUAUGAGUUAAAUAUCUACUAGAGUUUAAAAAAAAUCAAAAUGCAUCUUUUGUCCUUAAACGAGAAAAAGCCUCAUAUCGGUCAUUAAAAUUACGAAUUUUAAAACCUUUUAAUUAUUAGGUCAAUGAUGUCGAAAAUAUUUGACGUUUGAUUUCUAAAUACUUCAUGUGGUAUAGAUUAUAUUUAACGAUGCCGAUCGUCGAUUUAAAGGCUUUAUUAUCGAAAACAAAUAGAUAGUAACGAAGUCUGUUUGCUGCCGAUAGCAUUCCAACUCAACUCUCUCUCUCUCACUAUUGAUAUUUACUUUAAUUA
rnacentral:lncRNA from 1 species